rnacentral:snRNA from 1 species
AACUUUGCGCAGUGGCAGUAUCGUAGCCAAUGAGGUUUAUCCGAGGCACGAUUAUUGCUAAUUGAAAAGUACUUCUCCCUCUUUUCUCUCUCUCAACAAACAAAAUUUUUAAAGAAUUAUUUUU